UGGGAUAGAGAACGAUCUAGAUGUCCACAUGAAAAUGAAUGGCUGUCUGUAGUGGUAUUCAUGGAAUUGUAUAAGAAUAGAAAAGUGAGCAACAGAACACAAACUAAGAUCCUCAUAUUGGAGUUUUGGACUCAUACAACUACUAGAGGAUUCAGUGGCAAUGCUGCCCUAAAGGGUAGUGAGUAGACCUUCAUCACAUGUACAGACUCUCAGGGAUCUUCUCUUGUCUGCAGUGUCUGCAGUGGUUUUCUAAAAUGGAAGCUCAGAAUCCCUAUAGGAAAUCAUCGGGGACCUUGAUCAAGAUAAAAAGUGAAGACUCACGUUUCAUGCCCCAGAAGAAGGACGCAAAGACAAAAGGAAUCUCAUCAGCAUGGUCAGCCUUCACGUGGGGUGGUCUGACAUCCUUGAAGUAGCUGGGUGGAUGUU